AGGGGAAUAGUGUAACGGCAGCACAUACGGCUCUGACCCGUCUAGUCUAGGUUCGAAUCCUGGUUCCCCUGCCA
rnacentral:tRNA from 1 species